UAACGCGUAUCCAACCUGCCUGUUACCACGGCACAGCCCGUCGAAAGGCGGAUUAAUGCCGUAUGUUGUCCUUUGCGGGCAUCUAAUUAGGACUAAAGGUUCAGCGGUAACAGAUGGGGAUGCGUCCGAUUAGCUAGACGGCGGGGUAACGGCCCACCGUGGCGACGAUCGGUAGGGGUUCUGAGAGGAAGGUCCCCCACACUGGAACUGAGACACGGUCCAGACUCCUACGGGAGGCAGCAGUGAGGAAUAUUGGUCAAUGGGCGGAAGCCUGAACCAGCCAAGUAGCGUGAGGGAAGACUGCCCUAUGGGUUGUAAACCUCUUUUGUGCGGGGAUAAAGUGUGGGACGUGUCCCAUAUUGCAGGUACCGCACGAAUAAGGACCGGCUAAUUCCGUGCCAGCAGCCGCGGUAAUACGGAAGGUCCGGGCGUUAUCCGGAUUUAUUGGGUUUAAAGGGAGCGCAGGCCGUCCUUUAAGCGUGCUGUGAAACGCCGCGGCUCAACCGUGGCACUGCAGCGCGAACUGGAGGACUUGAGUACGCACGAGGUAGGCGGAAUUCGUGGUGUAGCGGUGAAAUGCUCAGAUAUCACGAAGAACUCCGAUUGCGAAGGCAGCUUACCGGAGCGCAACUGACGCUGAGGCUCGAAAGCGCGGGUAUCGAACAGGAUUAGAUACCCUGGUAGUCCGCGCGGUAAACGAUGGAUGCCCGCCGU
rnacentral:rRNA from 1 species